UACGUAGGGGGCAAGCGUUAUCCGGAUUUACUGGGUGUAAAGGGAGCGUAGACGGUUAUGCAAGUCAGAAGUGAAAGCCCAAAGCUCAACUUCGGGACUGCUUUUGAAACUGUGUAACUAGAGUGCAGGAGGGGUAAGCGGAAUUCCUAGUGUAGCGGUGAAAUGCGUAGAUGUUAAGAGGAACACCGGCGGCGAAGGCGGCUUACUGGACUGUAACUGACGUUGAGGCUCGAAAGCGUGGGGAGCAAACAGG
rnacentral:rRNA from 1 species